ACGCUCGACACCUACGGGAGGCAGCAGUCGGGAAUAUUGCGCAAUGGAGGAAACUCUGACGCAGUGACGCCGCGUAUGGGAAGAAGGUUUUCGGAUUGUAAACCAUUUUAGACAAGGAAGAAACAAGACAGUACUUGUAGAAUGAGCUCCGGCUAACUACGUGCCGGCAGCCGCGGUAAUCUGAGGCGGGCGUGGACGAAGGC
rnacentral:rRNA from 1 species